rnacentral:lncRNA from 1 species
GGGGGGGAUGAGGAUGGAAGGGUGGACUGAAAUCACAACGAAGCUUUGGAUUAUUCCUAUCAUAGGUUUCAUAAACGCUCAGCUCUUCCUGAUCCUCCGUGGCUAGAGAAAGUCAUACUGUAUGCUUUAUGUGCAUGAGAGACAUUUAUGUAUUUACAGUGCACACGCUUCAAUGGCUACUCCUGUGUUGAGGACAUCUGGCUCCAAGGUUGACAUAUUUUCUCCUCUACCUCUCUGUCUCUAACAACAACCUUAUCAUCCUCCAUUACACACCUGGAUUGUAUUACAUAUUAGUUCUCUUAACAGAGAUAGGUGUAAAACAAGGAUGAUGGGGAUGGGUCUGUGACGGAUAUCAUCGUGAGAAAGAGAGAAAUAGAGGGAGCGAGAGAAUGUGAGAGAGAAAGGGGGGGAGAGGGGGGAUAGAGAGAGACAGGGGAUAGAGAGAGACCGGGGUAGAGAGAGACAGGGGAUAGAGAGAGACCGGGGUAGAGAGAGACAGAGUGUAGAGAGAGACAGGGGCAGAGAGAGACAGCCAGGGAGAGAGAGAGACAGACAGGGACAGAGAGAGACAGACAGGGACAGAGAGAGACAGACAGGGAUAGAGAGAGACAGGGGUAGAGAGAGACAGGGGAUAGAGAGAGACGGGGAUAGAGAGAGAUAGGGGAUAGAGAGAGACAUAGGUAGAGAGAUACAGGGGUAGAGAGAGACAGGGGGUAGAGAGAGAUAGGGGAUAGAGAGAGACAUAGGUAGAGAGAUACAGGGACAGAGAGAGACGGGGAUAGAGAGAGACAGGGGGUAGAGAGAGACAGGGGAUAAAGAGAGACAGGGUAGAGAGAGACAGGGGAUAGAGAGAGACAAGGGUAGAGAGAUACAGGGGAUAGAGAGAGACGGGGAUAGAGAGAUACAGGGGGUAGAGAGAUACAGGGGUAGAGAGAGACAGGGGGUAGAGAGAGACAGGGGGUAGAGAGAGACAGGGGAUAGAGAGAGAUAGGGGAUAGAGAGAGACAUAGGUAGAGAGAUACAGGGGGUAGAGAGAGACAGGGGUAGAGAGAGACAGGGAGUAGAGAGAGACAGGGGAUAAAGAGAGACAGGAGGUAGAGAGAGACAGGGGAUAGAGACAGACAGGGGUAGAGAGAGACAGGGGUAGAGAGAGACAGAGGUAGAGAGAGACAGAGGUAGAGAGAGACAGAGGUAGAGAGAGACAGAGGUAGAGAGAGACAGGGGUAGAGAGAGACAGGGGGUAGAGAGAGAUAGGGGAUAGAGAGAGACAGGGAUAGAGAGAGACAGGGGAUAAAGAGAGACAGGGGGUAGAGAGAGACAGGGGGUAGAGAGAGACAGGGGAUAGAGACAGACAGGGGUAGAGAGAGACAGGGAUAGAGACAGACAGGGAUAGAGAGAGACAGAGGUAGAGAGAGGGGAUAGAGAGACAGGGAAUAGAGAGAGACAGGGGAUAGAGAGAGACGGGUAGAGAGAGACAGGGGAUAGAGAGAGACGGGGGUAGAGAGAGACAGGGAAUAGAGAGAGAGACGGGGUAGAGAGAGACAGGGGGUAGAGAGAGACAGGGGUAGAGAGAGACAGGGGUAGAGAGAGACAGGGGUAGAGAGAGACAGGGGUAGAGAGAGACAGGGAGCAGUUAUCCUCUCUAUUUCCUCUGCACCAGCUUUGCGGUUUCUGUGUGGAACAGAUGUUCACAACUUGAUACAGUGCACCAUGCCCCUCUCCUUGCUAUCUUCAGUCCCAGCACUACCAACUGUCUGCACACACACAUUCUCCCUCUCUCUCUCUUGCAUGCCAAUGUGGACACAAUUGCUUGCCUGAAUACAUGUGGAUGUAUUCAGGUGAAAACAGCGUAAAUUGAGAACUUUCUACUGCUGCCCAAUUGACUUUCUCUCCUGUUCCUGCAUCCUGCUCUUUAGUAAACAUUUCACUUUAACGAGGUGCUAUUUCCUGAUCCUUUAGCAGGGAGGGUGACCAGCCACC